AACAAACGCUGGCGGCGUGCCUAAUACAUGCAAGUCGAACGGGGAAAGCUUUCGGGUGAGUACUAGUGGCGCACGGGUGAGUAACGCGUGGAUAAUCUGCCUUAGAGUGGGGGAUAACUAGUCGAAAGAUUAGCUAAUACCGCAUAAGACCACAAGAACUGCGGUUCAAGGGGUCAAAGGUUUUUCGCUCUAAGAUGAGUCCGCGUAAGAUUAGCUAGUCGGUAGGGUAACGGCCUACCAAGGCGACGAUCUUUAACUGGUCUGAGAGGAUGAUCAGUCACACUGGAACUGAGACACGGUCCAGACUCCUACGGGAGGCAGCAGUAGGGAAUAUUGCACAAUGGAGGAAACUCUGAUGCAGCGACGCCGCGUGAGUGAUGAAGGCCUUCGGGUCGUAAAGCUCUGUCGCAGGGGAAUAACACAAUGAAGGUACCCUGUAAGAAAGGAUCGGCUAACUUCGUGCCAGCCGCCGCGGUAAAAC
rnacentral:rRNA from 1 species